UACAGGGGGUGCAAACGUUGCUCGGAAUUAUUGGGCGUAAAGCGCGCGUAGGCGGCCACUUAAGUCGGAUGUGAAAGCCCCUGGCUCAACUGGGGAAGUGCACCCGAAACUGAGUGGCUUGAAUGCAAAAGAGGGUCGCGGAAUUCCCGGUGUAGAGGUGAAAUUCGCAGAUAUCGGGAGGAACACCGGUGGCGAAGGCGGUUCUCUGGGCCUGUACUGACGCUGAGGAGCGAAAGCGUGGGGAGCGAACAGG
rnacentral:rRNA from 1 species